rfam:Ciona savignyi cont_7289, whole genome shotgun sequence.
GGGGGUGUAGCUCAGAUGGUAGAGCGCGCGAUUAGCAUGCGCGAGGUACCGGGAUCGAUACCCGGCACCUCUA